UUCUAUUAUUGUUUUCUUCAUAUUUUUCUAGGCCUUUUUUGCGAUUUUGUAAAAAUGGGUAACUUUUUUAUUUUUGUAGAUUUAAAUUUUUUUUUUUCAAACUAGCCAAAACAUUCCUAUUCUGCCUCUACUUGUUCCCUUUCUCCUACCACUUCCCAUCACUCUAGCUCCACCGUCUCUAGGUCGCUGCCAUGCUCCUCCCCUCUCUCACAACCCAUGAGUGCGAGGACGAUGACGAUGCUUAACUUGCUC
rnacentral:lncRNA from 1 species